UUUAGUAUCCUCGGGCUCAGAUGAACGCUGGCGGCGUGCUUUAACACAUGCAAGUCGAACGGAGUCAUCAUUUUUGAAGCAAUUAGCUUGCUAAGAGUGGAAAUGUUGAUGACUUAGUGCGGACGGUGAGUAACGCGUGGGUAACCUGCCAUAUACAGGGGGAUAACACUUAGAAUAGGUGCUAAUACCGCAUAAGCGCACAGUUUGCAUGAGACAGUGUGAAAACUACGGUGGUAUAUGAUGGACCCGCGUCUGAUUAGCUGGUUGGUGGGGUAACGGCCCACCAAGGCGACGAUCAGUAGCCGGCCUGAGAGGGUGGACGGCCACAUUGGGACUGAGACACGGCCCAAACUCCUACGGGAGGCAGCAGUGGGGAAUAUUGGACAAUGGGGGAAACCCUGAUCCAGCGACGCCGCGUGAGUGAAGAAGUAUUUCGGUAUGUAAAGCUCUAUCAGCAGGGAAGAAAAAUGACGGUACCUGACUAAGAAGCCCCGGCUAACUACGUA
rnacentral:rRNA from 1 species